ACGAGUUGAAAAACUCCCUAAACCCACUGUGAACCUACCUGUUCGUUGCUUCGGCAGGCGGCCCCAGGGCGGGGCUGUGGCCUAUUUUAGGUGCCUGCCGAAGGUUUUAAACGCUUUUAUUGCUCCGAGUCGUCUGAGUUAAUAACAAAAUAAUCA
rnacentral:misc_RNA from 1 species